rnacentral:tRNA from 1 species
UCCCUGGUAGCUCAGGUGGUAAAGGAUCUGCCUGCAGUGCAGGAGACCCUGGUUCGAUUCCUGGGUCGGGAA